rnacentral:misc_RNA from 1 species
AAGUCGUAACAAGGUUUCCGUAGGUGAACCUGCGGAAGGAUCAUUGCCACACACGAUCCAAGAUCGACACUUUAUUGUGAACUGUUAAAUGUUUUGAUUGAUAAUUGUUUAUGUUUGUUGAAGAUAUUUUUGCUUGCAAUAUGUCUCUUCAAUCGUAAUACAUUUGUCAGUUUUAAAUUAUUACACCAUUAACCCAAACAUGAAUUAUACAUUGGAACAUAAAUGUUAUACCAAGUUCGUCUUGAUAUAACGCUAGAUUGAUAAUUGUAAAAACAACUUUUAACAACGGAUAUCUAGGUUCUU